rnacentral:rRNA from 1 species
UAAUGGGUCAGCGACUUAUAUUCUGUAGCAAGGUUAACCGAAUAGGGGAGCCGAAGGGAAACCGAGUCUUAACUGGGCGUUAAGUUGCAGGGUAUAGACCCGAAACCCGGUGAUCUAGCCAUGGGCAGGUUGAAGGUUGGGUAACACUAACUGGAGGACCGAACCGACUAAUGUUGAAAAAUUAGCGGAUGACUUGUGGCUGGGGGUGAAAGGCCAAUCAAACCGGGAGAUAGCUGGUUCUCCCCGAAAGCUAUUUAGGUAGCGCCUCGUGAAUUCAUCUCCGGGGGUAGAGCACUGUUUCGGCAAGGGGGUCAUCCCGACUUACCAACCCGAUGCAAACUGCGAAUACCGGAGAAUGUUAUCACGGGAGACACACGGCGGGUGCUAACGUCCGUCGUGAAGAGGGAAACAACCCAGACCGCCAGCUAAGGUCCCAAAGUCAUGGUUAAGUGGGAAACGAUGUGGGAAGGCCCAGACAGCCAGGAUGUUGGCUUAGAAGCAGCCAUCAUUUAAAGAAAGCGUAAUAGCUCACUGGUCGAGUCGGCCUGCGCGGAAGAUGUAACGGGGCUAAACCAUGCACCGAAGCUGCGGCAGCGACACUAUGUGUUGUUGGGUAGGGGAGCGUUCUGUAAGCCUGUGAAGGUGGCCUGUGAGGGUUGCUGGAGGUAUCAGAAGUGCGAAUGCUGACAUAAGUAACGAUAAAGCGGGUGAAAAGCCCGCUCGCCGGAAGACCAAGGGUUCCUGUCCAACGUUAAUCGGGGCAGGGUGAGUCGACCCCUAAG